rnacentral:rRNA from 1 species
UACGUAGGUGGCAAGCGUUGUCCGGAUUUACUGGGCGUAAAGAGCGCGCAGGCGGUCGAUUAAGUCGAAUGUGAAAGCCCCCGGCUCAACUGGGGAGGGUCAUUCGAUACUGAUCGACUUGAAGGCAGGAGAGAGAAGUGGAAUUCCCGGUGUAGUGGUGAAAUGCGUAGAGAUGUGGAGGAACACCGAUGGCGAAGGCAGCCCCCUGGGUCAAGAUUGACGCUCAUGCACGAAAGCGUGGGGAGCAAACAGG